CAGGCGGUCAGGGAUGCCGAGGCGGAGUUCGAAGUUCUGCAGAAGAGGCUUCAAAAGUCAGAGGGCAAAAGCCGACGGUUCCACCAAAUAUACCGGAAGAUGCUUUUCAGAAAGAAGAAACUAGAAGAAGAAGUCAAAAACUUAAAGCAAUCCCUGACAAUGGCUGGAACCGAGAGUUUGAAGUCUGAAGAAGCCAAGC
rnacentral:lncRNA from 1 species